UACAGGGGGUGCAAACGUUGCUCGGAAUCAUUGGGCGUAAAGCGCACGUAGGCGGUUCGUUAUGUCGGAUGUGAAAGCCCUUGGCUUAACCGAGGAAGUGCAUCCGAAACUGGCGAGCUAGAGUACUAAAGAGGAUCGCGGAAUUCCCGGUGUAGAGGUGAAAUUCUUAGAUAUUAGGAGGAAUACCGGUGGCGAAGGCGGCUAUCUGGAUCGUAUCUGACGCUGAGGCGCGAAAGCGUGGGGAGCAAACAGG
rnacentral:rRNA from 1 species